UCUUUAAUGGAGAGUUUGAUCCUGGCUCAGGACGAACGCUGGCGGCGUGCCUAAUACAUGCAAGUCGAGCGGGGUUAGUUAGAAGCUUGCUUC
rnacentral:rRNA from 1 species